rnacentral:rRNA from 1 species
CACACAGGAAUUACCUUAGCUAACGGCGAGUGAAGCGGUAAAAGCUCAAAUUUGAAAGCUAGCACCUUUGGUGUUCGCGUUGUAAUUUCGAAGGAGGUAUCUUUGGCAGCUCUGGCCCAUUGGUCUAUGAUUCCUUGGAACAGGACGUCAUAGAGGGUGAGAAUCCCGUCUGAUGGGGUGUCCAACUCUUUGUAAAGAGCUUUCGAAGAGUCGAGUUGUUGGGAAUGCAGCUCUAAGUGGGUGGUAAAUUCCAUCUAAAGCUAAAUAUUGGCGAGAGACCGAUAGCGAACAAGUACAGUGAUGGAAACGAUGAAAAGAACUUUGAGAAGAGAGUGGAAGAAGUACGUGAAAUUGUUGAAAGGGAAGGGCAUUAGAUCAGAACUUGGGUGUCAUCGUGGAUUAUCUUCCCUUCUGUGGUAGGGUUGUGGCAACUUCGCCAUU